GAUUGCUCACAUGUACAAGACGGAUAGACCGAAGUAUGAGAGUACUGCCAGAUCAUGGACCCAGAAAUACGCAAUGGGUUGAACACAUCUGUUUCUACUUUCAUGAAUAUCAUCGAACCUUUAUUCUAUAGUAGUAAAUAAACUUAGGCAUGGUGCACAAUUUAUAGAUAUUGGUGUUUCUUGUUUUCUGGUAUAUUGCCUUUUAAGUUUUUGACUGGUUAACGAUUUAUCAUUU
rnacentral:misc_RNA from 1 species